AACGAACGUUGGCGGCGUGGAUUAGGCAUGCAAGUCGAACGAAGACGGGGUAGCAAUACUCCGGACUGAGUGGCGAAAGGGGCAGUAAUGCGUGGGUAACCUACCCUGAGGACUGGGAUAGCCACCCUAACGGGUGGUAAUACCGGGCGACGCAACGAGGGGGCAUCUCCUUGUUGCCAAAUGAAUUUCGCCUUGGGAGGGGCUCACGUGGUAUUAGCUUGUUGGUGAGGUAACGGCUCACCAAGGCUGAGAUGCCUAGCAGGUGUGAGAGCACGACCUGCGCCACUGGCACUGAGACACUGGCCAGACUCCUACGGGAGGCAG
rnacentral:rRNA from 1 species